AUAAGAAAAAUCCAGAGUGGGAGAGCAAAGAAAUGAUAGAAGAAGAAAGUAUAAAACCCUUAUAGUACCAAAAAGAAAGAGAAGAGGACAUUACAUGGGAGAACAAGAAGGAGAAAAGAUACGCUGUUUAAUGUUUUUAAGAGGAAGCAAGGGAGAAAAGAAGAGGCACAAUCAGUCUUCAGUGCUACAAAUUAAUUCAAUCUCUAAUGUUCUCCACUUUCAAUUAAAAGAGGAAAAGCAGCCUCAUUGGAUGUUGAAAUAAAAAACCAUGGU